UACGGGGGGGGCAAGCGUUGUUCGGAAUUACUGGGCGUAAAGGGCUCGUAGGUGGCCAACUAGGUCAGACGUGAAAUCCCUCGGCUUAACCGGGGAACUGCGUCUGAUACUGGAUGGCUUGAGUUCGGGAGAGGGAUGCGGAAUUCCAGGUGUAGCGGUGAAAUGCGUAGAUAUCUGGAGGAACACCGGUGGCGAAGGCGGCAUCCUGGACCGACACUGACGCUGAGGAGCGAAAGCCAGGGGAGCAAACGGG
rnacentral:rRNA from 1 species